rnacentral:rRNA from 1 species
UACGUAGGGGGCGAGCGUUGCCCGGAAUCAUUGGGCGUAAAGCGCGUGUAGGCGGCUCGUUAAGUCCGGUGUGAAACCUUGGGGCUCAACCCCAAGCCUGCACUGGAUACUGACGAGCUCGAGUCCGGGAGGGGAGAGCGGAAUUCCUAGUGUAGCGGUGAAAUGCGCAGAUAUUAGGAGGAACACCGAUUGCGAAGGCAGCUCGCUGGGACGUUACUGACGCUGAGACGCGAAAGCGUGGGGAGCAAACAGG